rnacentral:rRNA from 1 species
UACGGGGGGAGCAAGCGUUGUUCGGAUUUACUGGGCGUAAAGGGCGCGUAGGCGGCCACCGCAAGUCGAUUGUGAAAUCUCCGGGCUUAACCCGGAAAGGUCAACCGAUACUGCGGGGCUAGAGUGCGGAAGGGGCAAUCGGAAUUCUUGGUGUAGCGGUGAAAUGCGUAGAUAUCAAGAGGAACACCUGAGGUGAAGACGGGUUGCUGGGCUGACACUGACGCUGAGGCGCGAAAGCCAGGGGAGCAAACGGG